AUAGUAUUUUAUACAAUCGUGAUAUAAUAGAGAGCUUUUCAGUCGAGUACGAGAUUGAAAAUCUUGAUUAUAUCACUAUUGUAUACAAUACUUUU